rnacentral:misc_RNA from 1 species
GAAAUGCGAUAAGUAGUGUGAAUUGCAGAAUUCAGUGAAUCAUCGAAUCUUUGAACGCACAUUGCGCCCCUUGGUAUUCCAUGGGGCAUGCCUGUUCGAGCGUCAUUUGUACCCUCAAGCUCUGCUUGGUGUUGGGUGUUUGUCCCGUCUCCGCGCGUGGACUCGCCCCAAAGUGAUUGGCAGCCGGCGUACUGGUCCCGGAGCGCAGCACAUGUCGCGCAAACGAGUGCCUUGGUACGGCGGCGUCCAUAAGCCCCUCUCUCACGCUCUUGACCUCGGAUCAGGGAGGGAUACCUGUUGAACUUAAGC